UGGGGCCUUGUCUGGGUGUCGGGCAUGCUUUCUGGACUUUGGUUACAGCCGCAUUCCUGACUUCUGAAGAGUAGGGGGUGUGGAUUUCUGCUAGGAGUAACCACUGGGAAGGAAGUAAUGUUCAUUAAGUGUGCAGGCAGUGCAGGACUAAGCAUGCUCAGUGAAAAAGCUUUUCUCCUUUGCCUGUCAAGCCCUAUGUUUGAACUCAUUCCAGAAUGCCGGAUUUACUUUUCAUGAAGAAACAGUACCUGGCUGGAGUGCAUUUUUCUUUCCCUCCUUAGUCACCGGAAGAUUGGAAACACUGUUCUUUUGAUGAUCACUCUCAGUAAUGCAGUGCGCCUGCAUGCAAGUGCGAAUCUUGCAGUGGAGAAGGAAGACAAACUUUGCUACCUGUGAAAUGAAGACUUCUUAGGUAGCAGUGGAAAUGAAAGCAAUUCUAUUUAUCAUAUUGUUCACAGACUCCACAAAUGAUUAACUCGAUGACUUCAGUGGGAAUUGCUCUCAGAAAGAGAAAAAUCAUCUGGAUUCUUCUGAAGGUAAGAGUCAAGGACAGAAGUCUCCAUGAAAGACCUACCCAUGACACAAGAAGAGGAUCUCGCCUGCUGCUCUUCUUCAGAGACUCCAUCCCACAUUGAGGUUCAGGCAAGUAUUGCUUUCCCCUGCUUGGAAGUUCACUGGUGAGUCCUUAGAAGUGCUUGCUUCUUACAUAAAUAGUGUCAGUAAAGUUUUGUCAUGAAUCAGAGGGCAGGUUCUUGUAAACCAAUGUGUUCUUUCACACCUUGC